UACGUAGGGGGCAAGCGUUAUCCGGAUUUAUUGGGCGGAAAGAGCGCGCAGGUGGUUGAUUAAGUCUGAUGUGAAAGCCCACGGCUUAACCGUGGAGGGUCAUUGGAAACUGGUCGACUUGAGUGCAGAAGAGGGAAGUGGAAUUCCAUGUGUAGCGGUGAAAUGCGUAGAGAUAUGGAGGAACACCAGUGGCGAAGGCGGCUUCCUGGUCUGUAACUGACACUGAGGCGCGAAAGCGUGGGGAGCAAACAGG
rnacentral:rRNA from 1 species